ensembl:lncRNA
UUCUCAUCCACGCCAUCUCGUCUCUGAUGUUUUUGAACAUCGUGGGUCCAACGCUUACAAAGUUCAAUCCCGAGCAAUUUGUGCGCUCAUGAAUACGUACAGUAAGGGACACCGGGAAGAGGAGGAGGACACUGACAUGACAAGUUUGUGGAAUAUUUUGUCUUGGGAUUCUAUAGAGCAAAAGUUCCUGAGUGCAUCUUCGAGAACCAGUGCAAACUUGGACUUUUAUUUGGACUCCAAGAUCCCAGUCCCCUUUGGCCAGGUCCUUCACGCAGCGCCACUCAACACCAAUUAGCCUUCUUUUCUUCCAACACACGUGUCUUCUGAAAGAAAGUAGGUGAUGUGAGGAAGGCAACCGAGCGGAUCAUCGCAUUGUUUUCACAAACAUUUUCAUCUCCCUUUGUGGAGCUCCAUCACCCGAGGGGUAAUCAGCCAAGCGGAUUCUAUUAACACAAAACGC